rnacentral:lncRNA from 1 species
AGGAUACAAGGUUAAGUACGAGUUCUUAAAACUCAUACUUAUGUUACGUUCGUGACUCAUGGUUAUAUGAAAUGUUUAUGAACCCCUCAGCGAAUGGACGCCAAAAGUCUGACUAGGACAAGUUCUUAAACUCAUAUGAUUGUGGCAAUUAAUGAACUCAUAAGUGUGGUUUUAUGAACUGGGUAUAGUUUGUGUGAAUGGAGCGUUAAGGAUUAUAGGAACAGAUAGAAUGUUUAAGCAAAUGAUUGUUAGUGGAGGCAUUAGGUUUUCCUAAACUCCUAGCUAUGCAAAACUUCAAAUUUUUGACAUCAAUCUAAAUACGCACUAUGUGCCUUUUAAAAAAAAUGUAAACUCGUAACCAUUUUUGAAACG